rnacentral:lncRNA from 1 species
AUAUGAAUGUAAGUCUCAGUUUCAGGAGAAUGUUUAAAUCCACAUCAUUUCAGAGAUGUAUCUUUACCUGGAUUGUGCCCAUAUAUGCAUAUAUUGUUCCCACCCACCCACUUUGGUUUUUAAAGGCUUCAUAUCAGAUAAUAUGCAUCUCAACAUCAGAUAAGCAAAUAGGAGAUUCCAUUAUUCAAGGUAAUUUCCCCACCUCUCCACCUCUGUUGGGUUUGCUUGACUUUGUGGUGAGAUAUUAAUCAUUUCCUUUAGCAUCAUGUGUAUAUAUAAGAGCCUCAAAGUCUUAACAAGGUUCAGAACAAGACAGUUGAAGUGCCUGACUAUUGCCACACAAUGCUAUUCCACAGUUUGAUUGUCCUCUGCAUUGGAAUCUAUGGCAGUUGUAUGCCAACACACAAAGCCACAAGCAGCUCAACAUCCGCAUUACUACUAGAUGGCUUUAAUGAGAUUUUUGAGCAUUUUAGAAACGUAAAGGACCAAAAGCCCACAGUGAUACCCCGAAACACAAGCAUGAAAAAAUGUUUUGUCAUUAAUUUGGAGAGAUAUAGAAAUUUGUUUAAUUCACUGGACAUCAAAGGUCCAAAAAAAGCAACUGAAGCAUAUGCCAACAUGGUGGCAGGGCUUAAUGCGUUUUCUAUGAACCAAGAUCUUACUGAAUACUUGCCUCCGCAGACUAAGGAAAAACAAGACUGUGAGACAUCAAGUGAAGACAUCAAAGAACUCCUAAAAGAGUUUGAACGCUUCCUGAAGGAAUUGUAUCUGCUUUUGGAAAAGACACAAACACAGUGAACCAAGGACUUCUUGCUUCAUUGUACAAGAGAAUCUGCGUAUUUUGCUUGAAUGAGUUCUCUGAAGAAACCUGAAUGUUUAUGGGCUCUCAACAUGGAUUUAUAUAUAUAUAUCAUACAGAUAUUUCUGUAACUUAUAAUAGUACAAUACUAUGGUCUUCAAGUGUGUUAGGUUUGUAAUCCUAUGCAUGUUUAUUUGGAUGUGGUAAAGGAAGGCAUAGGUCUGAGUAAAUAUGCAUAGGAUCAAGCUAUGUGUUUUUUAACAGUGUGUAUCAAUGGGACUAUUUAUUAUUUAUUUAUUUAUUUAACAGAAUAUUUAACUAUAAUUUUGUUGUUGUAGUAGUAACUAUUUAUUUCUGCUGGGGUGGCUGAGGUGUUCAUUAGUAAAUUUGGCCAUUCUGGCAAUUUACUAUUCAAGUCUUCUCAACCUGCUCCUUUGUUGCCAUUGACGGCCACACAACCUUAUUAACACUCAGUAUACAACUGUCACCUCUUUCAGAAGAGAAUGGGUUCAGAGUCUGGGUUCAUGUGCAGCUCUCUCUCACCUAGAGGCUGGUGAAAAAUAUAUAUAUUGGUUUUUUUCUUCUUCUCUAGACAGGACAGCAUGAGGGAGGCUGUGGGCGGGAGGCUGGUGGAAAGCACUCAUGUGGUCCAAACUGCAGGAUUUUCUUGGGCCAUUCAUGAAUUAAGAUUUCAAUAUGACCUACAAAAAUAAAUAGCUUGCGGGGAGUGUGUUAUGGGGAGUA